rnacentral:sRNA from 1 species
GGAUGUGAGGGCAAUCUGGCUGCGACAUCUGUCACCCCAUUGAUCGCCAGGGUUGAUUCGGCUGAUCUGGCUGGCUAGGCGGGUGCCCCCUUCCUCCCUCGCCGCUCCAUGUGCGUCCCUCCCGAAGCUGCGCGCUCGGUCGCAGAGGACGACCUUCCCAGAUAGAGGAGCACCUGUUCUACGCGGUCAAGGGUGCACGAGUAGCUGCGCUCCCCGGCCAGAGCCUCCAGACAAGCUCUCAGUCUAAGUACAAGAUAUCU